UGAAGUUGGAAUAAGGAACAAAGCAUCAAAUUACCUGAAAAAGCAAUAUUAACAUUCCACGUCAAAAUCUAAGUCAUCUUAAAAACUGUUAUGCAUCAAAACUGAAAUAAAGGAGGUUUCUUGUAGCACUGGACAGUUUUCACAUGGGUGACCUGCUCUCCCUCCCUUGAAAAUUAUUUUGCUGUAUGAAGAAGUAGCAUGAUCGACUUUGUUUUCUACAGCAUAUCUACUAGUUGCUGCAGCCACCAGGUUAUUGUCUGCUGUAAUUGGUGCUCCUAUUGAUUUCACUGGAGUCAGAAAUCCAAAUGUUGAAGACGUACUCCAAGGUUUGAGCAGUAAAUAUUACCAUUUGACAUUUUUAAUAAUUUUGUCCAUGUUGUGACUUAGUUGAAAAAGGCAAUGAUUGUGAUUACUUUGCAUUUGAGUUGUGUUAAAAACCUGUAAUAUCUGUCUUUAUGUAACUUGUGUAAAAGUAUUUCCAAGAGGCUUCCAAUUUUACAAUAGAAAAUAAUUAAUUGAGCUACUUUGGCCUAUCAUGCCCCAGUAUGAUUUCUUCUGUUGUCCAAAACGGCAGCAUUGACCUUUGUGUAUACUUCCUUUAGUAAUGCAAGCUUCU